UAGAUUUCUGGAAACCCAAGAAGAGAGCCAGCAGCACAUCCUGCACAUGAAGGCAAGCACAGCGCUGGUAUAUCCUGCAGUCAUAAUAUGCCAAACGUAUCGAACGUGAGAAAAAGAAGACAUGAUAGAACAAUCGAGAGUCAACCCUAGGGUAGCUGCAUACUAGUGCAAGGUAUCCAAUGCUACGGUUGUGUUGUCAGCUAGCGAGAUGGCAGUGAGGACAGCCUUCACAUCAUGGAAGUAACUGGAGAUGACUGACAACACUCACCACCCACUCUGCACUGUUUCAGCGCAUAAUGAUGUGACUGAUGUGUGUGGAUGAGCA